UAGGGAAUCUUCCGCAAUGGGCGAAAGCCUGACGGAGCAACGCCGCGUGAGUGAUGAAGGUCUUCGGAUCGUAAAACUCUGCUAUUAGGGAAGAACAAAUGUGUAAGUAACUAUGCACGUCUUGACGGUACCUAAUCAGAAAGCCACGGCUAACUACGUGCCAGCAGCCGCGGUAAUACGUAGGUUGCAAGCGUUAUCCGGAAUUAUUGGGCGUAAAGCGCGCGUCGGCGGUUUUUUAAGUCUGAUGUGAAAGCCCACGGCUCAACCGUGGAGGGUCAUUGGAAACUGGAAAACUUGAGUGCAGAAGACGAAAGUGGAAUUCCAUGUGUAGCGGUGAAAUGCACAGAGAUAUUGAGGAACACCAGUGGCGAAGGCAACUUUCUGGUCUGUAACUGACGCUGAUGUGCGAAAGCGUGGGGAUCAAACAGG
rnacentral:rRNA from 1 species